GACGAACGCUGGCGGCGUGCUUAACACAUGCAAGUCGAACGGAAAGGCCCUGCUUUUGUGGGGUGCUCGAGUGGCGAACGGGUGAGUAACACGUGAGUAACCUGCCCUUUACUUUGGGAUAACUUCAGGAAACUGGGGCUAAUACCGGAUAUGAGCUCCUGCUGCAUGGUGGGGGUUGGAAAGUUUCGGCGGUUGGGGAUGGACUCGCUGCUUAUCAGCUUUUUGGUGGGGUAGUGGCUUACCAAGGCUUUGACGGGUAGCCGGCCUGAGAGGGUGACAGGCAAGAAUGGGACUGAGAGAAGGAACAGAAGACAACGGGAGGCAGCAGUGGGGAAUAUUGAAGAAUGGGCGGAAGCAUGAUGAAGAAAAGAAGCGUGCGGGAUGAAGGCCUUCGGGUUGUAAAAAGAUUUAGAAUGUGAAGAAGAGUGAGUGACGGUAAUGGGUAAAGAAGCAACGGCUAACUACGUG
rnacentral:rRNA from 1 species